rnacentral:rRNA from 1 species
UACGUAGGGUGCGAGCGUUAAUCGGAAUUACUGGGCGUAAAGCGUGCGUAGGCGGUCCGCAAAGUCUGAUGUGAAAGCCCCGGGCUCAACCUGGGAAUUGCAUUGGAAACUAGCGGGCUGGAGUGUGGCAGAGGGGGGUGGAAUUCCACGUGUAGCAGUGAAAUGCGUAGAGAUGUGGAGGAACACCGAUGGCGAAGGCAGCCCCCUGGGCUAACACUGACGCUCAUGCACGAAAGCGUGGGGAGCAAACAGG